rnacentral:rRNA from 1 species
UACGUAGGGGGCAAGCGUUGUCCGGAUUUACUGGGUGUAAAGGGCGCGUAGGCGGGCUUGUUAGUCGAUGGUGAAAUCCUGCAGCUUAACUGCAGAACUGCCGUCGAUACUGCAAGUCUUGAGUUCGGAAGAGAGUAGCGGAAUUCCAGGUGUAGUAGUGAAAUACGUAGAUAUCUGGAAGAACACCAGUGGCGAAGGCGGCUACUUGGUCCGUAUCUGACGCUGAGGCGCGAAAGCGUGGGGAGCAAACAGG